rnacentral:rRNA from 1 species
ACGCACGCUGGCGGCGUGCUUAACACCUGCAAGUUGAACGGAAAGGCCCCUUUGGGGGUACUCGAGUGGCGAACGGGUGAGUAACACGUGAGUAACCUGCCCUUGACUUCGGGAUAACUUCAGGAAACUGGGGCUAAUACCGGAUAGGAAUCCUUGCUGCAUGGUGGGGGUUGGAAAGCUUCGGCGGUUUUGGAUGGACUCGCGGCUUAUCAGCUUGUUGGUGGGGUAGUGGCUUACCAAGGCUUUGACGGGUAGCCGGCCUGAGAGGGCGACCGGCCACAUUGGGACUGAGAUACGGCCCAGACUCCUACGGGAGGCAGCAGUGGGGAAUAUUGCACAAUGGGCGGAAGCCUGAUGCAGCAACGCCGCGGGCGGGAUGACGGCCUUCGGGUUGUAAACCGCUUUCAGCAGGGGCGAAGCUUGUGGUGACGGUACCUGCAGAAGAAGCACCGGCUAACUACGUG